rnacentral:rRNA from 1 species
UCCCAAAGUCAUGGUUAAGUGGGAAACGAUGUGGGAAGGCCCAGACAGCCAGGAUGUUGGCUUAGAAGCAGCCAUCAUUUAAAGAAAGCGUAAUAGCUCACUGGUCGAGUCGGCCUGCGCGGAAGAUGUAACGGGGCUAAACCAUGCACCGAAGCUGCGGCAGCGACGCUUAUGCGUUGUUGGGUAGGGGAGCGUUCUGUAAGCCUGCGAAGGUGUGCUGUGAGGCAUGCUGGAGGUAUCAGAAGUGCGAAUGCUGACAUAAGUAACGAUAAAGCGGGUGAAAAGCCCGCUCGCCGGAAGACCAAGGGUUCCUGUCCAACGUUAAUCGGGGCAGGGUGAGUCGACCCCUAAGGCGAGGCCGAAAGGCGUAGUCGAUGGGAAACAGGUUAAUAUUCCUGUACUUGGUGUUACUGCGAAGGGGGGACGGAGAAGGCUAUGUUGGCCGGGCGACGGUUGUCCCGGUUUAAGCGUGUAGGCUGGUUUUCCAGGCAAAUCCGGAAAAUCAAGGCUGAGGCGUGAUGA